GCGGAAACUGCUGGCUAGGUAGCUGUUGAACUGGCUUCUGAAGCGGAAACUGCUGGCUAGUUAGCUGUUGAACUGGCUUCUGAAGCGGAAACUGCUGGCUAGUUAGCUGUUGAACUGGCUUCUGAAGCGGAAACUGCUGGCUAGUUAGCUGUUGAACUGGCUUCUGAAGCGGAAACUGCUGGCUAGUUAGCUGUUGAACUGGCUUCUGAAGCGGAAACUGCUGGCUAGUUAGCUGUUGAACUGGCUUCUGAAGCGGAAACUGCUGG